rnacentral:tRNA from 1 species
CCGUAGCUCAGUGGUAGAGCAGCUGUUUCGUAAACAGCAGGUCAACGGUUCGAGUCCGUUCGGU